GCGGGCUUAGCUCAGUUGGUAGAGCGUCAGCUUCCCAAGCUGAAUGUCGUCGGUUCGAACCCGAUAGCCCGCUCCA
rnacentral:tRNA from 2 species